GAUUUUUGCAUAAAUUGUCUUCUCUAAAAGCUUUCUGAGCUUUUACUGAGUAAAGUCCUCAGACAGGAAGUGGCUUUACCCGCCAAAACAAUAAGAUGGAAGCAUUUUUGUUUGCCUUUUAUUGUUUGUUUAUUGAUGACUUCACUUCUGUUUCAUUGUGUUUAAAGUGGUUUAUGAAUCCACUCAAUCCUCCAAACCUCAGAGCAGAGGUCUCCAUCAAUCCUGCUACUCAUGAUUAGUUUUAGUUUAAACUGGUGAGCCAUAACAUUAUGACCACUCACAGGUGAAGUAAAUACCUGAUGAUUACACAGCAGAUGCUGGAGGAACAAACAUCUGGCUGCGGUGGGCCUUUAAGGAGCUCUGAUCUGGGAUGGCUCAACAGCUGGCAUCUCCAAAUCUGCAGCUUUUGUGGGACGUUCCUGGUCAGCAGUGAUCAGAACCGACCACAGCUGGCUCCCGUCAUGUCCUUUUAUCCACGCUGAUGAUACAGUCCUCCUAUCACUGCUGUCAGGCUCCUCACAACACCACGGACCUGCUCUUCAGGAGUUUGUAGAGUGGUGUGACAGCUCCAAACUUGAACUGAAUGUGAGCAAAACCAAAGACAUGGUGGUGACCUUCUGCAGGAGGCAGAGGGAUCCGGCUGCUUCAGUAACCACCAUUAUCCAUGGGAACCCAGUGGAGGUAGUGGAGGAGUACAAAUAUCUGGGAACCACCUUUGACAACCUCCUGAAAUUCUCUGCUAACACAGAGGAGAUUCUCAGGAAGUGCCACCAACGGCUAUAUCUCCAAGCUCAACUCCUUUGGAGUCAGCUCCUCAGUCAUGAUGACUUUUUACUGUGCCUUCCUGGAAAGCAUCAUGACCUUCUCCAUCACUUGCUGGUUCUACUCCCUUAGCCUCCAGAACAGGAACAGACUGCAGCACACUGCAUCAGUGUGCUCCAAAAUCGUUGGCCUGCCUGUCAGAACUCUUGCUCAGGUUUUCUGUCAACAAGCCCUGAGACAGGCAGCCAAAAUCCUCCACAACCCCUCUCACCAGCGUUGCCAGAUCCAAAAUCCCACAAUAUUGUACAAAGAGGCCUAAAUUAUCGUUUUUCAGUACAAAUUAUCGUACAUUAUAAAUUUGAUAAUAACGUUCUAUAAAUGACUUCUCACUCCAAUAUAAUAUAACAAAGAAGGUGUUUUAUAUAACCUUACAGUUUCUCGCGAAAGUAGGCCCUAUCGAUGUGAUUGGGCUAUUUAUUGUACAGAUCCAGAGUCAGUUUUUGUAAUAGACACAAUAGCAUAAACCUGUAAGCACUGAGGUGAAAUCUGACUUCAGAACAGUUUAAAAUUAUGUAAUUGACUUGGGAAUGCCACAGCAAAAAACGGUGUUACUAGAUGCAAUGUGAAAUUAUCGUACAUUUGAGGAUUUUUGAAACUAUUGAUCGUACAGAGCCCAAAAUUAUGGUACAAAUACGAUAAUUAUCGUACAUCUGGCAACACUGCCUCUCACAUUGUUCACUCUGCAUUUCAAUGGCUCCCCUCUGGGCGACGCCUACACUGCAUUUCCUGUAAGACUGAGGGGAGGAGAGCCACCUUUGUCCCCAAAACCAUUCUGCUCUUUAACUCCAGCAGAUAAGACCAUCCCCCGAUAAACCCUCUCCUUGGGCUCUCCAUAUAUUUAACUUUUAUACAGACGACACUUUAGUCACUUUAUUCACUUACUCAGUGUUUUUUUGUGUGCAUACUUUACUGUUUUAUCCAUCUUCUUGCUGCUUUAUUACUUCCUUAUUGCCUAUUUAUUCAAUGUUUGUAUGUCCAACAUCAUGCUGCUCUGCUGUUAUUUUUUUAAAUUGCCCCUCGGGGAUAAAUAAAGUUUUUCUGAUUCUGAAACAGCUGUUUGAACCACUUUGAACUUGUUUCAGCAGAAAGAGUUCAGCCCAUGUAACUCAUCACUGACGUCGGAAUCUGUUAAAAAAUAAACACGUUUGAUGAGUCUUAACUCUGAAAAGGGAGAGCUUCUGCAUCCAGCUCUGCUCCUUCAGCACCACAAACCAGAGCAGCACCACCUCCGUUACUGCAGAAGAUCCGAUCUGUCGGUCCGGCUGCAGCUCCAUCCUCACAUCCAUUAUCGUGACAAGAUGCUAGGAUCCUUUAACUCCUCCUCCUGAGGUAAAAGGGUAUUUAUGGUGACUCAAAAAGACAGAUGUUGGAUUUCCAGUUUUUCUCAAUAGGUGGGUUUCAUGUGACGUAAUCACCAGCGCGCGCAAAUUCGUCGGAGGGCAGGAAGUGAAGUGGAAUACAGCAAUUCAGCAAUCGCAACGGUAAAAAUGCCUAUGUUUGGUGUUGUUUAUGGUUGCUCCAAUCGCUCUAACCGAGAAAAAAAUUAAAUAUUUUUUAGAGUACCGAAGGUUGUCGUUCACAGAGGCGACAAGUAUAAAAAGCUUACAGAACAACGUCGGAAAAAAUGGAUUUUAAACCUACGCCUGCGGUCAGCAGGAGCAGAGUCUGAGAAUGCCCGCGUCUGCGGUGACCACUUCCUCCAAGGCCGCCCUAGCUCCAUAGAUGAGGUUGAGUCGGAAGACUGGGCUCCAACGGUCAACCUCGGUUACCAGAAGUCUAAGGCCAAGUCAGAAGCCUCUCUUCAACGGGAUCAGAGGAUGAAGCUAAAGGAAGACAAACAAAACGGUAUGAUUGUGCAGAAACUCUGUUGGAUCUUCAGAUACCAGACAAGCAGAGAGUUGAGAGCUCCGAACCAACGCUGACACCUGACCACCCACAGUCCGAGCGCAUCGGUGUGAUUGAGACGUUUAAUGAUGGAGCUGGGACAGAGCUGGACUGAUGCUGAGCGGAGCCUGAAGGGCCUGGUGGAAGCUCGCUUAAAGAUCGAACACGCUUUUUAUGAACUUACUGGGAACCUGGACUCCGUUAGAGCAGUGUGGGGGAUCGGGCAGGUGCUCUGACUGCUGGAUGGACAGGGCUCCCUAAAGAUCAACUUCUAAACUGGGUUUAUCAGUUUUCCUGGUUUUAUUAGUGGAAAACAAGUUUCAGUCAUUAACGCUGAUUGUUGAUUUGUAAUGAAAAAUAAAUAAUUUAAAAGUCAAAAUCUCUCUCUCUCUCUCUCUCUCUCUCUCUCUCUCUCUCUCUCUCUCUCUCUCUCUC